CAAAAGAUCCAGCAAAGCAAGACGGGGAGCUCUAGAGACUUCUUCAGCUAGCUGUAAACCAUUUAAUAAACCCAUCCCUCAAAAGCAACAAAGACACCUGUGAAUCGAUGCAAAACAUAAAUGCUUUCUUUAAUUUUCAGCAGGAGCCAUCAUUUCCAUAAAAAAACUUCCAAAUAUCACAAAUCAUCCUGGCUUUUCAACCUUCAUCCCAAAAACUUUCCGACAGUAAAUCCAACGAUUCAGUCCCCCAAAGAAACCUUCCAACUUCGAUCGGCCACCAUAGCUUCCUCCGCUCCAAUCAAAACCAUGCCCAGCAGAUAAGUUGAUUUGUUCUUUUUUUCUGAAUUACUGAUCGCGAGUCACCUUCAAUCUCAUCCUCUCUCAACCCUAGAGAUAACUCAAGAUGGACGCUUGGAGAUACGCCAUCGCUUUCACAGCAAAAGCAGAAGCAUCAAAGUUGAUUCAAACCCACGGAUCAGUCGGCGCGACCCAUCUACCCGUCUGAAGUCGAUUCACUAAACACUCCCUGAAAACAUGCUCCUUCGUUUCUGUCCCAUUUUGGCACCUUUGACAAGUUGCGGACGCCAUCAUUCUUCUAUAAUGUAGAUUACCAAAAGUAGGCAAAAAAUUACAAGAAAACCUCCAGUUUGUAAUUUUAAUUUUUGGAGGUAGAUCUAGGCUCCACAAUCUUUUGUAAAAUUGUUUGUAGUCUGUUUGCAUUUGAUUCUACUCAUCCUGUAAAAGUAAUUUGUGCCCACUACAAACCGUGUAUUCCCCCGUUGGCUCUCCUCGCUAGAUAAUAUAGUCUUCCUGCUGGUUCGUGGAUAAAGGAAUGCAUAAAAUUUGCUCCGCAUCCUUCUCCAGGAAGGUACCUAUGCAUCUCCCCAGAUGGAAACCUUCUUCCCAUCGCCAAUCCUCCAACCCAAUCCCUUUAAAAUGAGUCCUUUUGCAGACCACAGACUCUGCCGGGUAAGAGAAGGUAAAUUUCCUAAACUGGAGUUUAAGAAAUCUGAGUUUUUAAAGUAUUCGGCCUUCAAAGUACGCGCUAGUAAAGAAUUAGGGUUACGUAACAAAUGGCAACCCUGCUUUGCCAGUAACACAAUAUUAAAAGAAUUCAGAUUUCAGAAACCCAUCCCACCUUCAUCUUUUGAAAUGCAUAACGAUUUCCAGUCACACCAGUGCAAUCCUUUUUUUCCAUGACUUUUUUCCCACAAAAAACCCCCAAUUAUAUUUUCCAUCUCCACACAUAAAGUUUUUGGAAGCAGAAAACAAGACAUUGUAAAGGUAGGAAUUGCUUGUAAAACUGCUUUUAUAAAAACCUCUUUUCUACCUUGAGAAAUAUGUUGUAUACUCCAACUAUUAAUUUUCUACUUCAAACUGUCCUUCAAUGUUUGAAAA